rnacentral:rRNA from 1 species
UAGCAGCUUUAAACUGAAGAGUUUGAUCCUGGCUCAGAUUGAACGCUGGCGGCAUGCCUAACACAUGCAAGUCGAACGGUAGCAGGGGCUUCGGCCCGCUGACGAGUGGCGGACGGGUGAGUAACGCGUAGGAAUCUACCCAGUAGCGGGGGAUAGCUCGGGGAAACUCGGAUUAAUACCGCAUACGUCCCUUGUCAUAUCGAUAAGGGGGAAAGCAGGGGACCUUUUAGACCUUGCACUAUUGGAUGAGCCUACGUCUGAUUAGCUAGUUGGUAGAGUAAAAGCCUACCAAGGCAACGAUCAGUAGCUGGUCUGAGAGGACGAUCAGCCACACUGGGACUGAGACACGG